rnacentral:rRNA from 1 species
AUUCCUACGGGAGGCAGCAGUGGGGAAUAUUGCACAAUGGGCGCAAGCCUGAUGCAGCGACGCCGCGUGAGGGAUGAAGGCCUUCGGGUUGUAAACCUCUUUCAGCAGGGAAGAAGCAGCCGGGUUUUCUUGGUUGUGACGGUACCUGCGGAAGAAGCACCGGCUAACUACGUGCCAGCAGCCGCGGUAAUACGUAGGGUGCAAGCGUUGUCCGGAAUUAUUGGGCGUAAAGAGCUUGUAGGUGGUUUGUCGCGUCUGUUGUGAAAUUUCGGGGCUCAACCCCGAACUUGCAGUGGAUACGGGCAGACUAGAGUGUGGUAGGGGAGACUGGAAUUCCUGGUGUAGCGGUGAAAUGCGCAGAUAUCAGGAGGAACACCGAUGGCGAAGGCAGGUCUCUGGGCCAUUACUGACACUGAGAAGCGAAAGCAUGGGGAGCGAACAGGAUUAGAUACCCUGGUAGUCCAUGCCGUAAACGGUGGGAACUAGGUGUGGGUCUCAUUCCACGAGAUCCGUGCCGCAGCUAACGCAUUAAGUUCCCCGCCUGGGGAGUACGGCCGCAAGGCUAAAACUCAAAGGAAUUGACGGGGGCCCGCACAAGCGGCGGAGCAUGCGGAUUAAUUCGAUGCAACGCGAAGAACCUUACCAAGGCUUGACAUGUGCCGGUAAAGUGCAGAGAUGUGCUCCCCGCAAGGUCGGUACACAGGCGGUGCAUGGUUGUCGUCAGCUCGUGUCGUGAGAUGUUGGGUUAAGUCCCGCAACGAGCGCAACCCUCCUUCUAUGUUGCCAGCGGGUUAUGCCGGGGACUCAUAGGAGACUGCCGGGGUCAACUCGGAGGAAGGUGGGGAUGACGUCAAAUCAUCAUGCCCCUUAUGUCUUGGGCUUCACGCAUGCUACAAUGGCCAGUACAAAGGGCUGCGAUACCGUAAGGUGGAGCGAAUCCCAAAAAACUGGUCUCAGUUCGGAUCGGGGUCUGCAACUCGACCCCAUGAAGUCGGAGUCGCUAGUAAUCGCAGAUCAGCAACGCUGCGGUGAAUACGUUCCCGGGCCUUGUACACACCGCC